CAUGGGCGCUGAGAGGAUUGUGUUGAUGGCCAUUCAUUUCUCCCGAUGGUUGGAACACUCCCACGAUGACGUCAAAUAGCGUGCUCGACGUCAGAACAGCUGAGUACCAGAGGCGGCUAACCAUCCCGUGUGUGCAGGAAUCAAGGAAACAUGCACAGAAAUGGGUGUCAGCCAGUGAUCAAGAUCUUACCAGAGCGUGUGCAGUUAAAGACACUUUCUACGUGACUAUAGAACUCGUCUCCGAGGAUGGAUUGGGAGGUCAUGUGACUCGUGUGAACCAAACACUGAGUUGCAUCUUUAAACAGCAGAUCACUUUCUCCGUACUGCUGAGACUCAAAGAGCUUAAACUCAGUGGUUGGGUUAGCUGUCAAAGUUUCCUGUAAGGUUGUUGAAAAGUAUCUGUUUAGAAUAUAAAGCUUUAGAAGAGUAAAUAUACAAAUACACUGAUUUAAUUAGGUAAUUACAAACUUAAAUCAAGUUGAGCUCAUUUCAGACUACUCAUGAAAAUAUGUUGUGUGGCUACUUUUUUGUUCUUUAAAAAAACCUUUUUUUUCUUUUUUUUUUUAAAAAUAAAGCAUAACUACAGUGGAAAGAAGAACCCCUGAUUUUAAACCCUGACCUGUGAUUUCAUCAGGAAGUCAUACACUCUCGCUGUUAACACAGGUCGCGUCAUGACGGUGUUUGGAGGGACAACUCCAAGGUUACAGCUCUCCCACUCUGACAGUGGUGCCCGACGCCCAUCACCACAGAGCAGCUCAAAGUCUGAUGACGUCCAGCCCUCUGCCCAACCAGUGGAGCUCAAACCUGAAAAGGUCAAGCAUGACAAUGAGAUACAAUGAGGAUACAUUAGUGUGAGUGUUCAGGUCAUAACUUCGUCUUGAAAAUCUCACUGAGGAUGUUGUCAUGAAGGUUGUGCUGCUCAAGGAAGGCCACAUCACCGUAGCUUUUACCACUGGGAUCUCCAACCAGACACCUUUAUAAGUAUAAGAUUUAAGAGUCAUUUCAGCCAAAGUAUUACACACAUGUUCAACAACAAAAAAUAGUCCCUCUCUACGACAUAAAUAGACAUAAUAUUUGCAGAUUAGUGACAAUAGAAAGGCAACUGUCUAUGGAAAGUGCCAUUGCUGUCAAUUUCUGUCGUUCAACAACUGAUAAAGUGUAGGCCUAAUCCCCCCCAAAUUCAACAUCUCUGUCAUGCAUCAUGCGUUUUCUUGUAAACUGCUACUGGAUGCUUUGAAUUUCCCUUGGGAUCAAUAAAGUUACCUAUCUAUUUAUUUAUCCAUCUCUAAGCUACGUUUUUGUUUUUUGUCACCAUGAGCGCUGUUAGCCAUUGUUUUUAAUAAUAGAUCAGCUCUAGUUCAGCAUCAAAGAACAAACUACUCCACUGUAAGUGUUUUUCCAUAUCAAUGUGUAACAUGACUUAUGUAAGUUACAGUUAGUGGGUUAUUCACAGAAUGGAAGAGUCAUGGUGAGCAAGACAACAGUAUUCUCAUUUGACCUGAAGGAGUUCCUCCGGGACAACAAUCCGCCUACUAUUUAUUUUCCUGAUUGUUACACGGCCACUUACAAAAGAAAUCAAUAAUCUGAAACAAAAUAUUGAUUUGGAAUUUGAUUGACUUAAAAAUGAUUGAUUUCUUCUGCUUAACAGAUAGUCUUUUGGAAUCUACAGUUAGAGCUGCGUCCAUAGCAACAAUUAACUCUGUAUCCUUCAUAAAAUGAGCGGAUUAAGCCGUCAUUUCUCACAUUAAACUGAACAUUUUCACUGAUGCUGAAGUGAGACAAGGUGAACAGGUCGAUGUGAAGCAGCACAGGACCUGGUUGAGUUUUUCUCCUUUGUCAAGGAUUUUAGUGACAUUUUCAUUUCUUUUCCAGUUUCUAAAACAUCUACAUAUACCUUACCAUGAUCUGCCCUGUUCUAACUUCAUGUGCCAUCUUCAGCUUCAGCAUUUUUCUGUCAUAACCUGCAGUUCCUGUGUCUUUUAACCUCUUUCCUCCGUUGUCAUCCUCUCUUUUCUACUUUGCCCGCAUUAAACAAAUGUCAAAUUAU